rnacentral:tRNA from 1 species
GACCUCGUAGGUCAGUUGGUAGAGCAUUGGACUAGUAUCCCAAAGGUUGUGAGUUUGAUUCCCACCGUGGUCA